GUAUAAUUGGUUAUCUGUAGUAAAUUCAGCAUUAACUUCAACACUCAUGUCUCAGUUUCAGGCAUGUUGCCCCUUUUCUCAAACCCUUCUCAGGGUAUCCAAUUCAAACCACCCUGCUUCUCCUGCCAUAUAUCCCAAUCUAUGAUCAACGCAGGAGAAAUUGGGCAGAGCUGAAACUGAAAACUACUCUCAGAAAAGUUUGAACUGUGGCCUGGAAGCAACUAGCAGAACAAAUAAUAUCUGUCAAGAGUGUUUCUUGGAAGGAUGGAGUGCUAGAAAGAAGUCUGAUCACCCUAACAGGGUCAGAGCUCUAAAAAGAAUGAAAUCUGAAGGAUUAAGAUUUGGGAUUUUUACCAAAUUCUCUGAAACUUCCAAGGAAAAGUAAAGCAACAAUUUUUCAGUCACAGUGAUAGCCCAAGAUGAGCCAACCACAAUCUCUUGCCCAGAGCCUCUUGUGACCAACAGCGUGCCUCUACAAGAAGACUGGCUAGAAUUCAAGUUUCUGUCUUUGUCCAUGGAACAGAGCUUUUUCUCUGUGUGAAGCUAAACUAGACCAUAUGGAGACUGAACCAAUGGCCCUGACCUCGCUGGCCAAACAGGUAACUGCCUGAAACAAAGCAAUAAAGUCCACUGAUUUAGCUAAGAGAAAUUAAUACCAAAUUUAAUAGAACAAAAAAAAAAAAGAAAAUAAAUCAAAUAUUUAUUAAGUGCCUACUAUGUGUGCUAAGUGUUAGAGAUAAACGAUAAUGU